UGGGGUGUCUCCACCAUGGCCUGGAUUCCUCUCCUCCUGCCCUUCCUCACUGUCUGCACAGGACAGCCCAAGGCAAGACCCACCGUUAAUGUCUUUGCUCCAUCCCAAGAGGAACUAGACACCAAAAAGGCCACCCUCGUGUGUCUGAUCAGUGGCUUCUACCCAGGCACCGUGGAUGUGGCCUGGACCAAGAAUGGCUCCCCCGUGUCCCAGGGCGUGGACACGACACAGCCGUCCCGCCAGAGUGACAACAAGUACUCAGCCAGCAGCUACCUCUCACUCUCCUCUGACCAGUGGCUGUCAGGUGACCUCUUCACCUGCAAGGUCACUCAUGAGGACAGUGUCAUCCAGAAGGAGCUCUCCCCAAGCCAGUGCACUUAGAUGCCCACAUCCCUCUUGCUCCCAUCUCUCCAUCCCCACACAUGGGCUUCCCCAGCUCACCCUUCCCCCUCCCCUGCUUUCAAUAAAAAUCUUGACUUUUCUCAUUCAA